UACGUAGGGUGCGAGCGUUAAUCGGAAUUACUGGGCGUAAAGCGUGCGCAGGCGGUUCGUUAAGUUCGUUGUGAAAGCCCCGGGCUCAACCUGGGAACUGCAAUGGAAACUGGCGGGCUUGAGUGUGGCAGAGGGGGGUGGAAUUCCGCGUGUAGCAGUGAAAUGCGUAGAUAUGCGGAGGAACACCGAUGGCGAAGGCAGCCUCCUGGGAUAACACUGACGCUCAUGCACGAAAGCGUGGGGAGCAAACAGG
rnacentral:rRNA from 1 species